rnacentral:SRP_RNA from 1 species
GCCUGGUGUAGUGGAGUGCACCUGCAAUCACGGCUACCAGGACGCUAAAGCUGGCAGCUCUCUUUAACUCUGAGUUCUAAGCUGCAGUAGGCUAUGCUGAUUGGGUGUACACAUUAAGUCUAGUAUUAAUAAAGUGAACCUCCAGAAGCAGGGGGACACUGGGUUACCAAAUGAGGAACAAACAAGUCAGAAACAGGUCAGAAACAAAGCAGGUCCAAACUCCUGUGCCAAUAAGUAGUGAGACUGGGUCUGUGAAUGGACCUUACAUUUCAAGCCUGGGCAAGACAGGGAGACUCCGUCUUA